UCAUCGUAGGGUUAGUCGGGACCUAAGUCGAGUCCGAAAGGGGUAGACGAUGGCAAAUCGGUUAAUAUUCCGAUACCGACAUUACAUCAUUUGAGUGAUGGGGGGACGCAUAGAGUUAGACGAGGUCACUGAUGGAAUAGUGGCUCGAAGGGUGUAGGUUGUACAGUAGGCAAAUCCGCUGUACAUUCGACCGAGACCUGACAGGCAGACCAAUCUUUUCGGAGAGCGGUUUGAAUCGUCGAUACUGUCGUGCCGAGAAAAGCCUCUAAACGAGAUGUAAUGUUGCCCGUACCGUAAACCGACACAGGUGGGUGAGAUGAGUAUUUUAAGGCGCGUGGAUGAACCCUUGUUAAGGAACUUUGCAAACUAGCCCCGUAUCUUCGGUAUAAGGUGUGCCCUAAGUGUUAGGAGAUUUACUUUCCGAAGCCCCGAUGGGUCGCAGCAAAGAGUCCCUCCCGACUGUUUAC
rnacentral:rRNA from 1 species